GAUUUAGCUCAAUGGCAUAAGCACCUGCCUUGCAAGCAGGUGGUCGUGAGUUUGAUUCUGAUACAGAUUA
rnacentral:tRNA from 1 species